rnacentral:tRNA from 1 species
UGGCUCAGUGGUAGAGUGCUUGCCUUACAUGCAUGAGACCCUGGGUUCGAUUCCUCAG